rnacentral:snRNA from 1 species
GGAUGCGAGGGCAAUCUGGCUGUGACAUCUGUCGCCCCACUGAUCACUAGGGUCGAUUUGGCUGAUCUGGCUGACUAGGCGGGUGUCCCCUGCCUUCCUCUGGCUCCACAUGCAUCCCUCCCGAAGCUGCACGCUCAAAGAGGAUGACAUUCCCCCAAAAAAGGAUGCGACUAUUCUUCGGUCAAGGGUAUAUGAGUAGCUGUGCUCCCCAGCUAAAACCUCCAGACGGACUCUCGGGAUAAACCCAGUGAUUUCUACCUGUGUGACUCAGAGGCAGAGCAAGACCGUUUUCAUAUGUAAGACUGGCACAGCAACCAUAUCUGUACCAUGCACU